UACGUAGGGUGCAAGCGUUGUCCGGAUUUAUUGGGCGUAAAGGGUGCGUAGGCGGCGCGGUAAGUCGGGUGUGAAAUCUCGGAGCUUAACUCCGAAACUGCAUUCGAUACUGCCGUGCUUGAGGACUGGAGAGGAGACUGGAAUUUACGGUGUAGCGGUGAAAUGCGUAGAUAUCGUAAGGAAGACCAGUGGCGAAGGCGGGUCUCUGGACAGUUCCUGACACUGAGACACGAAGGCCAGGGGAGCAAACGGG
rnacentral:rRNA from 1 species